CUCAGUUCGGAUCGGAGUCUGCAACCCGACUCCGUGAAGCUGGAUUCGCUAGUAAUCGCGCAUCAGCCAUGGCGCGGUGAAUACGUUCCCGGGCCUUGUACACACCGCCCGUCAAGCCAUGGAAGCCGGGGGUGCCUGAAGUGUGCAGCCGCAAGGAGCGCCCUAAGGUAAAACCGGUGACUGGGGCUAAGUCGUAACAAGGUAAC
rnacentral:rRNA from 1 species